rnacentral:rRNA from 1 species
UCCGUAGGCGGGACAAUCAGUCAGCGGUGAAAGUCUGUGGCUCAACCAUAGAAUUGCCAUUGAUACUGUUGUUCUUGAAUACUUAUGAAGUGGUUGGAAUAUGUAGUGUAGCGGUGAAAUGCAUAGAUAUUACAUAGAACACCGAUUGCGAAGGCAGAUCACUAAUAAGUCAUUGACGCUGAUGGACGAAAGCGUAGGUAGCGAACAGGAUUAGAUACCCUGGUAGUCC